rnacentral:rRNA from 1 species
AUUGAUGUUACCAUUAAGCUUGCUAAUAGAGAUACUAUAUCACCAAUUGGGAUUGUUAGAGAUGUUGAAGUCUUGUGUGGGAAGAUAAAAUAUCCUACUGAUUUUCUUGUUCUUGCUUCCCCACAAGAUAAUUUUUGUUCCAUUAUAUUUGCUAGACCUUUCUUGAAUACUGUUAAUGCUAAGAUAGACUACGAGAAAGAUAAUGUUACUGUUGGUUUAGGGGAUAUGUCUCAUGAUUUUAAUUUCUCUAAAUUUUGUAGACAACCCCAUGAUAAAGAAUUGCCUAGUGAGGAUGAAAUUAUUGGUCUUGCUUCUAUUGCCGUGCCUCCUAAUGAUCCUUUAGAAUAA